CCAAUAGCGUAUAUUAAAGUUGUUGCAGUUAAAAAGCUCGUAGUUGAAUUUCGAGCUCAAUUUGUCGGUCGUGCCUCGGUACGUACUGGCAUUAUUGAUUUCUCCCUUCUGAAGAACCGCGAUGUCAUUCAUUUGGUGUCGUGUGGAUUCAGGACUGUUACUUUGAAAAAAUUAGAGUGUUUAAAGCAGGCGCACGCUUGAAUACUUUAGUAUGGAAUAAUGAAAUAGUAAGUUUGAUUCUAUUUUGUUGGUUUCUAGGAUCGACGUAAUGAUUAAUAGGGAUAGUUGGGGGCAUUAGUAUUCAAUUGUCAGAGGUGAAAUUCUUGGAUUUAUUGAAGACUAACUACUGCGAAAGCAUUUGCCAAGGAUGUUUUCAUUAAUCAAGAACGAAAGUUAGGGGAUCGAAGACGAUCAGAUACCGUCGUAGUCUUAACCAUAAACUAUGCCGACUAGGGAUCGGAUGAUGUUAAUUUUUUAAUGACUCAUUCGGCGCCUUACG
rnacentral:rRNA from 1 species